rnacentral:misc_RNA from 1 species
CAGAGUUCGUGCCCUCACGGGUAGAUCUCCCACCCUGUGUUAUUAUACCUUUGUUGCUUUGGCGGGCCGCCCUCGGCUACCGGCCCCGGCUGGUACGCGCCCGCCAGAGGACCCAACAAACUCUUUUGAAUUUUUCAGUAUCUUCUGAGUGAAAAAAACAAUAAAUCA